rnacentral:rRNA from 1 species
AGCGAACGCUGGCGGUAGGCCUAACACAUGCAAGUCGAGCGGGCACUCUCGGAUGUCUGCGGCUGACGGGUGGGGAACGCGUGGGAACGUGGGCUCUGGUCCGGAAUAACUUAGGGAAACUUGAGCUAAUACCGGAAACGCCCCUUAGGGGAAAGGCUUGCUGCCGGAGGAUCGGCGCGCGCCUGAGUAGUUAGUCGGUGAGGUAACGGGGCACCAAGGCGACGAUUAGUAGCUGGUCUGAGAGGAUGAUCAGACACACUGGGGCUGGGACGCGGUCGGGACUCCUGCGGGAGGGGGGAAUGGGGAAUAUAGGAAGAUGGGCGCAGGGCUGAUCGAGCCAGGCCGCGUGAGUGAUGAUGUCCUUAGGGUUGUGAAGCUGGUUUAUCCGGGGCUGUAAUGACGGUACCGAAAGAAUAAGCCCCGGCUAACUUCGUG